ACACCCCUGCGGGAGGCAGCAGUGGGGAAUUUUGGACAAUGGGCGAAAGCCUGAUCCAGCAAUGCCGCGUGUGUGAAGAAGGCCUUCGGGUUGUAAAGCACUUUUGUCCGGAAAGAAAUCCUUGGCUCUAAUACAGUCGGGGGAUGACGGUACCGGAAGAAUAAGCACCGGCUAACUACGUGCCAGCAGCCGCGGUAAUACGUAGGGUGCGAGCGUUAAUCGGAAUUACUGGGCGUAAAGCGUGCGCAGGCGGUUUGCUAAGACCGAUGUGAAAUCCCCGGGCUCAACCUGGGAACUGCAUUGGUGACUGGCAGGCUAGAGUAUGGCAGAGGGGGGUAGAAUUCCACGUGUAGCAGUGAAAUGCGUAGAGAUGUGGAGGAAUACCGAUGGCGAAGGCAGCCCCCUGGGCCAAUACUGACGCUCAUGCACGAAAGCGUGGGGAGCAAACAGGAUUAGAUACCCUUGUAGUCCCAUGA
rnacentral:rRNA from 1 species